rnacentral:lncRNA from 1 species
UUUAACUAUGAAUUUAAAAGAGGCAAGGUCCAAAAACUCGAUUCCUUCUUAAUUUUGGUAGGUGAGUUUUUUCUCUCAUUUUAAGUCAAGCACAUCUCAUUUUACUAUGAUAUUGGUCGGAAGAUUUAGCUUUAAAAUCAUAUUCUUCAUACAAAGGAGUAUUUAUAAAUGAUUAAGGGCUUUGAAACAUUAUAUCAAACACUUAGAGUGUAAGGGAAGUAAGCAUCACAUGUUCCAAGUCAAACUUGUUGACACAUGAUCUAAGAUAUAUACAACCCUAGUUAAGACCAAAAUUUUUUCCCUUAAAUAUUUACAAACAAGCAUUUUAACCAUUUGAGAGAAAUAAAACCACCAAACCUAGGUCAAAAAUGGAAUCUAACUCUUAGACCAAGCCUAGUAGUUGAGCCAACCAUUAAUGGUGUAGAGUUCACCCUAGCCCCAGCACAAACCUUUACCCAACUUACUCCAGCCCAAGCCCCAAAAUAUAAACUGUCAGCCCAAGCCCCAAAAUAUAAACUGUGAAACCGAGCCGAACCAUCUGUUCAUUUAAGUUCACAGUUCGGUUCGAUUCAAUUCGGAGAAAGGGCAAAUCGUGUCUUACGGUUCGGUUCACGGUUUGGUCCUAAAUUUGACCAAACUGAACUGUGAUCACCCCAAUUCGUCUGUAUUGACGACUACAACUACUUACCCUCAAUCUCGAGGAGAGUUUUUAUUUAUGAAAAUCCACCUACACUACUUGAGGAGAAAAAAUGACCACUGCCUCACUCAAAAAGCUAGAGAAAUUCAAAUAUUAAAUAGAUAGAGCGCCGGAGCUAUCAUUCCUUGGGAAUAGCAAUUAUCUGCUUCCUGAAUAGAAAACAGAGUUCCAAACAUUUUACAAGACACGUACAAGAUAUUUUAGAAAACCAUGCAAAUAAGAUUUGUUUACAAUGCACAUGUAAAAUGCUAAUAAAAUGGCUAGGGAACGUCACCAUUGCCAUUAUAAGGGACCACUACCAUUCCGACAGUGCUGAUUUGCCCGGAUGCCGACAUCAACAACGGCAACAACCAUGAGAAGAUCAGGCGCCCCUCUGCUGAGUCAGCACCCCCGCUGGCUGGGAACAAUCCUGUAAUGGAAGGUGAAAUCACAAACUUCUAUGCACAAUUGGGUCAAAGAGAUCGCAGAUCUGGUCAAAGAGAACCCUUCGGUACCUUUCAUUUGACACCCUUUGGCAGAAAAUGAAAAUAAGACUCAAGGAUGGAGGACAAGACCCCAAUAACAUGGCCAUCAAUGAACAUGGAGCAAUCUCGCCACCAGCAGAAUAAAGACAAACCGUAAACCAACCUUGCAUAACACUGAACACCAGUGGAAGUGACAUCUGGUCUCCAAAUGGACUUGAAGCACAAGGGAUGACAUCGAAUGGGCAACGCCAUAUCGUGACUUUAAAGUCCCAGGUCAAUCAGUAGAUCUCAUGCAACAACCCAAACCCACACCUUCGAAACCCUUUUUCACAAAUCAACUUGAAAUACAAGGGAAGGAGAGCGAGCAUUGAGACCUAUAGGAAAAAUCCAUGAAAAAGUAAUGGAGUUCCCAACAAAGCCCCACAGAAAACCCUAGAGAAGAACUUAGAGAGAGAGAGAGAAGCACCCACACAAAAUUCACAUCCUUCCCACUCUUAAAAAGGUCCAAUUUAAAUUUUAAUAGUUGGCUACUAAUAAAACUUACUAAAUAUCUUCCGGAUGUGGGAGUUCCUUGGCAUCACAUAAAUAAAUGACAUUUUAAAGUAUACAAAAUUUAUAUGAUUAGUGUUUCCUUGACUUGUCGUUUCUACAGUUUUGAAAACUUGUCGUGAACGUUUUGCGUGUAUGUGUCCAUUCUACUUAGACUAUCAUCUAUGUUAGAUGGACUCGAGUACGAGUAUAGAGUGCAGGUGCAUGUCCAAGCAUCAGACCUUGCAGGGACACUUCCUGAACUCUUGUAGUAUAUAUUGCAUAAUACUCUCAGAUAUUACGUCGUAAAUUAUUUAGAAAUGUACUUGAAAUCAAAUAAGAUUAAGUAUGAAAUUUCUAUCUCUUAUCCAUGAUAAAGGCUAGAAAUGUUUCUUUUUUUAGCUAAUAUAAACUUUUUUCCCUUCAAUAUUAAAAGAUUUAAAGGAUUCGGGUGUCUGAAUUGGGUACUGGUGUCAAACACAUAUCCCACACUCAUAUCCCUAUCAUAUCCAUAAGACACGGAUGAAGUCUGAAUCUGGUAUGGCUUGACUUGAUCCAAUUAUUUGCAAGAGGAGUAGAAGAUGGGACCAUGGUGACACCGGUGUGGUAUCGGCCAAAGACCCUCCAAUGCUUACGCUAGUAAACUUAGCAUAUUUUGAGAAAAAGAUGUAGGGAAGAUGAAGUGUAGAGUUAGGGCAUUUUUUAGAGAGAGACAUACUUUUUUGUCUUCCAUCUCUUAUUUAUAUAGGAGGUCUUGGUUAUAUAUAGUGGGUCUUCCUCACACUUGUUAUUGGGUCCAGUUGUUCAUUGG